rnacentral:rRNA from 1 species
AGCUCCAAUAGCGUAUAUUAAAGUUGUUGCAGUUAGAACGCUCGUAGUCGGAUUUCGGGGCGUUCCGACCGGUCUGCCGAUGGGUAUGCACUGGCCGGAGUGUCCUUUUUGCCGGAGACCGUGCCUACUCUUAACUGAGCGGGGGCGGGAGACGGCACUUUUACUUUGAAAAAAUCAGAGUGUUUCAAGCAGGCAGCUCGCUCUUGCAUGGAUUAGCAUGGGAUAAUGAAAUAGGACUUUGGUGCUAUUUUGUUGGUUUCGAACACCGAAGUAAUGAUGAGAAGGGACAGUCAGGGGCACUCGUAUUCCGCAGAGAGAGGUGAAAUUCUCAGACCCGCGGAAGACGAACCACUGCGAAAGCAUUUGCCAGGGAUGUUUUCACUG